rnacentral:lncRNA from 1 species
GUACACCAGACAGUCCAUCACAAGCAGCCUAAGCGCUACAACGAAUAACAGUCUCAAUCAGUACGUCUGUAUUUCUCUGAUUUCUACGUUUUAACAUCAGCGAAUGUUGCGAGAUUACCACGUUCCGGACUGUCACAGCAGAAGUCAGUGCGGUUCCGCAGCAGUAACGGACGGGCUUGAUCUUACCUGGGGUUCAAAACAGGCUUUACUCAUACAGGGUCAAGAUAUGGAUGGCUCUAGAACAGGGUCAAGACAUGGAUGGCUCUAUAACAGGAUCAAGACAUGGAUGGCUCUAAACUAGGAUCAAGAUAUGGAUGGCUCUAGAACAAGAUCAAGAUAUGGAUGGCUCUAGAACAGGAUCAAGAUAUGGAUGGCUCUAGAACAGAAUCAAGACAUGGAUGGCUCUAGAACAGGAUCAAGAUAUGGAUGGCUCUAGAACAGAAUCAAGACAUGGAUGGCUCUAGAACAGGAUCAAGAUAUGGAUUGCUCUAGAACAGGAUCAAGAUAUGGAUGGCUCUAGAACAGGAUCAAGAUAUGGAUGGCUCUAUAACAGGAUCAAGAUAUGGAUGGCUCUAGAACAGGAUCAAGACAUGGAUGGCUCUAUAACAGGAUCAAGACAUGGAUGGCUCUAAACUAGGAUCAAGAUAUG